GAGAACCCAGACCAGGCCAGGCGCCACAGCCACACGCUGCACCCAAGGCUGUUUCCCAAAGUGGCACCUGCAAGUCUGCGGGUCCUGGACUGCUGGGCUGUUGAAGUACAUUCGUGCACUGAUAGAAUGACGCCUGCAAUGGAACAGAGUCGAGCAUUCAGGCAGGGGUAGAUUGUGUGUCUGUGUGCACACUCUGUCUCCUGCACUCCACGUUUCCAUCCUGGAUACCUAUACCGCAUAAAAUGGCUCCUGACACUUAAGUCAGAGCAUUCUGUAGCUGUAUUUUACAGAACUGUAAUUGCACAGAUUGUUCCUCUUACAAGAGAAAUAUCCAGAGCUCUAAGAAAACAACUGAUGAAAACGACAAAAGAGUGCCACCCCAGGGAGGAAUGCCAUGGUCCCAUAGAGGGAGACCGACAGUGAAGUGCAGACAGCAAAGUAUCUUCUGUGGCCCCAUGACUAAUGUCGUUGU
rnacentral:lncRNA from 1 species